rnacentral:tRNA from 1 species
AAUGGAAUGACUGAUAAUAAGUGAUAAAUUGUAAAUUUAUAAAUGAUUUUAAAAAUCUUCCAUUA